AGACAACGAAGAGCAUGGACAGAUGUUCUUUACGUCACACUGGCACCUCCGCUGCUCAGUGGUGCAAUAAAAAGUCUGAAAAUGUCGUCAAGCAAUGCCGUGCCAGGCGCUUUGGAAGUGGAAUCAGCUGUGGAAACGGACAGACCAGCCGAUGGCGAGGCAGUGACCAGCGACCUCGACGCGGCUGCAGCAGCGAGCUUUUCAGUGCGGGUUCCCUGGGACUGUCGAGCACGACUGACACGCUUUACUGAGAGCGCAGACCAAUCACGUCACCCUCGGAAAAACGAGCCAAGUGCCAGAGAAAUGUUGGAAAUUCUAGAUCAAGUCCCAACUCAUCCCGCUGGAAUUGGAAGCCGGAAAGAACUCGCACCUGUACCUGGCACAGGCAAACAGGAACAACGGCAUUGUCUGUUCCUCUUUUCCCUUUCUCUCUCUCUCUCUCUCUAUCUCU